rnacentral:rRNA from 1 species
GACGAACGCUGGCGGCGUGCCUAAUACAUGCAAGUCGAGCGGACCUCUUCGGAGGUCAGCGGCGGACGGGUGAGUAACACGUGGGCAACCUGCCUGUAAGACUGGGAUAACACCGGGAAACCGGUGCUAAUACCGGAUAAUCCUUCCCCUCACAUGAGGGGAAGCUGAAAGACGGUUUCGGCUGUCACUUACAGAUGGGCCCGCGGCGCAUUAGCUAGUUGGUGGGGUAACGGCCCACCAAGGCGACGAUGCGUAGCCGACCUGAGAGGGUGAUCGGCCACACUGGGACUGAGACACGGCCCAGACUCCUACGGGAGGCAGCAGUAGGGAAUCUUCCGCAAUGGACGAAAGUCUGACGGAGCAACGCCGCGUGAGCGAAGAAGGCCUUCGGGUCGUAAAGCUCUGUUGUCAGGGAAGAACACGUACCGGAGUAACUGCCGGUACCUUGACGGUACCUGACCAGAAAGCCACGGCUAACUACGUGCCAGCCGCCGCGGUAACAC